rnacentral:lncRNA from 1 species
CAUUUAACAGAGGAUGAAACAGGCUCUGAGAGCCUUGUAGCAAGUAAGUGGCACCACUGGUAUUUAAAAUCCUGUUUGGCAGAUUCUCACUCUUAGAGAGGGAUUUAGACCCUCUUUAAAUUGAAGAAUCUAAAAUGCCUGUAUGCAAUCUGGGAAAGCAAAGGGUAAAACCAAAGAACUUUCUGCAGAAGGAAAUUUCCUAUUCCUUUGUCAAAUAUGGUUUUCCACAAUGAAUUACUUCUCUAGCAGAUAUUGCAGGGCAGUAAGACUCGGAGGACAGUCAUCAGGAAGGCUUCUGUUUAUUUUUUUUCUUUAUUUUUGAGGAAGACUAUCCCUGAGCUAACAUCUGCCGCCAAUCCUCUUCUUUUUGUUGAGGAAGACUGGCCCUGAGCUAACAUCUGUGCCCACCUUCCUCUACUUUAUCUGUGGGAGGCCUGCCACAGCAUUGCUUGAUAAGUCGUGCGUAGGUCUGCACACAGGAUCCGAACAGGUGAAUCCCGGGCCGCCAAAGCAGAACGUGCACACUUAACUGCUGCGCCACCAGGCGGGCCCCAGGAAGGCUCCUGUUUUGGUGGUAGUAUCAACCAAACAAAAUCAGGAAGACUACAUGGUGGGAAGAGGCAAGAACUGGACAUCUGUCUUGGUUUAGUCCACAGUUAAAGAGCACUGAUUUUCUUUCAUAGUAGACAAGCUCAUCUUCAGGAAAACUGACAGAUCUCUUCCCCUGCAAAAAACAACCGCAUGCUUGAUGGGACUCAGACCUGGGCCCAUCAGUCACCUCUAGGUCAGGAGGUAUUAGAGAGACAGGUGGGUUCCUAUGAAGAGUUCGCAUGGGGGGGAGAAAGAUGGACAUGUCAUGUCAGUUACUCUCAGGGAGUCCAAAGAGUCUGGCAAUGUUAGAUUUUUAUGUUCAUUUUAAUUGUUUUGAUGUCUUAACCUAGUAAUAAAUUGCCAGUUAAUCACGUUUUUUUUUUUUUUUUUUUGAGGAAGACUAGCCCUGAGCUAACAUCCGUGCCCAUCUUCCUCUACUUUAUAUGUGGAACACCUACGACAGCAUGGCUUGCCAAGCGGUGCCAUGUCCACACCCAGGAUCCAAACCAGCGAACCCCAGGCCGCUGAAGUGGAACGUGGGAACUUAACCACUGCGCCACCGGGCCAGCCCCCAGUUAAUCACUUUUAUGGAAUAAUAAAAGAAUGCAGAAGAAAUGAAAAUGUUUGUCUUAUAUCGACCUGCCCAGGAUGCAAUAGAGAAGAACAAGACUCAAGGAGAGAAAUGGAGACUUCCCUUAAGAAAUGCAUUAACUAAAUGUCAGGUGAUACAACCCUUGAAGGUCUUCCAUCCACAACAAUUUCACUUGAAAGCUAUUUAUUUAGGAAACAGAUGACAGAAAGCCCUGGAGUUGCAGAUUAAUAUUCCCU